rnacentral:tRNA from 1 species
AGGAUAGUAGUUAAUAAUAACAUUUGGGUUGCAUUCAAAAAGUACUGACUUCAGUCUAUCUU